rnacentral:rRNA from 1 species
UACGUAGGGUGCAAGCGUUGUCCGGAAUUAUUGGGCGUAAAGAGCUCGUAGGCGGUCUGUCGCGUCGAAUGUGAAAACCCGGGGCUCAACCCCGGGCCUGCAUUCGAUACGGGCAGACUAGAGUUCGGCAGGGGAGACUGGAAUUCCUGGUGUAGCGGUGAAAUGCGCAGAUAUCAGGAGGAACACCGGUGGCGAAGGCGGGUCUCUGGGCCGAUACUGACGCUGAGGAGCGAAAGCGUGGGGAGCGAACAGG